CAAUUCUACAUAACAUUGCUCUUGCAAACAAUGUAGACUUGCACAUCAGUAAUGAUCUGCUACCAGAAAUACCGGCACUCCCGGCUGCCUCUGAGGAUUCCUCAGACCUAGGGAAUCAUGUUCGUCAAAAUCUGAUUCGGACCUAUUUCAGGAAUCUACAAAGCGGAACGACUAAUUAGACUAACAUUUUUAAUCCUAUCCUUGCCAAGUGUACUACCACCAUUGUAUAUAGUUGUUGGCGUGGUUUGGGCAUGGUCGAGUACGCAUGUGCGUCUUCUGCCCUCCCGGAUGUCUUCUAUACUUCUUUAGUUAACUCUCUGACAGCAUGCUCUCACCAAAGAGGUGCGCAUGAACACACAAAUGUUGUUGUCGUUAAUUCGAUGAAGCAUAGACACGGUCAGAAUAUCCGACACCUCUUUAAUCAGACAAUUAUGACCAUACAAUUCGAUGGUGGAUGAUGAUCGCUGAACGAGGGAAUAUACGUACCAGCUGAAGUUACUAGACCCACUGAAUAUGCUUUCCCCUUCUACUGCAUAUUUGGGACGUUCCCGAUGACUCCGUUCUCCCCAUGGUUAAAGUGCCCAUAAAAGACCCUGAGGAGAGAUGAUUACCAUUACAAUACCCUUUUCUUGCUGCAAGCGGAAUAGAACUUUGUGGGGAUAAGACCUCACCCCACCACCACCUUAACA